rnacentral:rRNA from 1 species
GACGAACGCUGGCGGCGUGCUUAACACAUGCAAGUCGGGCGGAAAGGCCCUUCGGGGUACUCGAGCGGCGAACGGGUGAGUAACACGUGAGUAAUCUGCCCUUCACUCUGGGAUAGCCACCGGAAACGGUGAUUAAUACCGGAUACGACCAAUCCCUGCAUGGGGUGUUGGUGGAAACUUUUUUGGGUGGGGGAUGUGCUCGCGGCCUAUCAGCUUGUUGGUGGGGUAAUGGCCUACCAAGGCUUCGACGGGUAGCCGGCCUGAGAGGGUGACCGGCCACACUGGGACUGAGACACGGCCCAGACUCCGACGGGAGGCAGCAGUGGGGAAUAUUGGACAAUGGGCGGAAGCCUGAUCCAGCAACGCCGCGUGAGGGAUGACGGCCUUCGGGUUGUAAACCUCUUUCAGCACCGACGAAGCGCAAGUGACGGUAGGUGCAGAAGAAGGACCGGCCAACUACGUGCCAGCAGCCGCAGUAAGAC